rnacentral:rRNA from 1 species
UACGUAGGGUGCAAGCGUUGUCCGGAAUUAUUGGGCGUAAAGAGCUCUUAGGCGGUUUGUCGCGUCUGCUGUGAAAACUCGGGGCUUAACUCCGGGCCUGCAGUGGGUACGGGCAGACUAGAGUGCGGUAGGGGAGACUGGAAUUCCUGGUGUAGCGGUGAAAUGCGCAGAUAUUGGGAGGAACACCAGUGGCGAAGGCGGCUCACUGGACCGGAACUGACGCUGAGGCGCGAAAGCGUGGGGAGCAAACAGG